rnacentral:lncRNA from 1 species
UCAGUUCCGGUAAAACAUCCUAAUCCCAUCCAGCAAACGCAGCAGUAAUUUAAUCACCCUCCCCUGCAGUAAGAAAAUCGAACGCACGAUCUUUCCAGACAUAUAGAUCUCCUAUGAGUCGAAUUCAGGAUCCAUUAAAAUGAAAAUCAAGGUCGACUAUAUGCAAUUGUUGCGAUUAAUGUAAAGCAAGAAAAUUCAUCAUGAAACACGAAGGAAAGGUCCAGACAAACAGAUCUCCUAUGAGUCGAAUUCAAGAUCCAUUAAAAUGAAAAUCAAGGUCGACUAUAUCCAAUUGUUGCGAUUAAUGUACAACUUCGCAAGAAAAUUCAUCAUGAAACACGAAGGAAAGGUAGAGUGUU